GUAAAAACCCUAUUUGUAAACAACCAGUCCUUUUAACUCGGGGCUGCGUCAUAAACACGGCGCGCUUGGAAGACCACGAUGUCAUCUUCCUUCUGUCAGGAGGAUCCCAGUGAAGCUACAGGAGUUUCAUUAACGUCAACAACUUGGACCGAACAGUUUGUUUUGCAUGAUGAAGAGCAGGAAGGGCAGCCUGGAGAGAAAGAGAAGCCGGGUUGAGCCCACUACCAUCAUCCACGUACCACGAGGAAGAUGAGGGAGAGAAAUUAUCCUACCAUUAAAGAGACUGUGAAAAGAACGUUGAGAACAUCACCACUCUACAGGAAGACACAGUCCAGUAAUGGGUGUCAGAAGUUCAGUAGUGAACGACAGGCAGUACUGAUGCAUUUACUGAGAGGGGACGUGAGGGCCUACUCUGCGUGCUCAGAGUUCAAGCCCAGCAGGCUGCAGCGGGCCUGACAUAUUCUGGAACAGCAGCACAGUCUUUAGAUGACUCCUCUGAAGAUGAAAACAUGGCGAGUUCUUCUCAAGAGAAGCAGUACAGGUGUGCCUCAGCUCCACGCUCCCUCCUGCAGCCUCCGCUCCUGAUGCUAACCUCAUGUCUCCAUCACACCAAGCAGCAGACCUGGAUUGACAGACCUUUCUCCAGAGCUGCCCCCUCCCUCUGAAACCCCCCUCUCCAAAACACUAUUUGUGUAGUUUUUAAAGUAUUUUUUGCAUGAGAAUUGUUGAUCAUAUCAUUUCCAGCAGAUGCCUUAAUAUAAUGUUUGUGCACAAUAAAUGACAUUGAUCAUAA